CCUGCAACUGCCACACGGUUCGAUUAACUGAGAGUGGAAGCUCACAUGGCGGCUUGCAAAAUGGUGAGCCUGACUGCGAAGGAGAUAAUUAAUCCGUGUAAUUAUGUACGCAUGUUGUACGUAGUAUGUGGUGUCUAUAAUUAUUAAUAAAGUUGCUGCUAAGCUAAUUCUUAAUUCUGUUGUGUAUGAUUAGACCUAAGGAUUAUAUUAAUUUGGUUGGUUUGCCUCAUUAGUUUGCGUUGUUCUUGUACUUUCAUUAUUAAUAAUUUCCAAAAGCUAUUAUGUUUGACAGCUUCCAAGAUAAUUAGAAAUUUAUUGUUUGAAGUUUUGAAUCUCAGACUCAUUUCUUUAUUAUUAUUAUUGUUGUUAUUUUAAUUUAGUCAAUCGGGUUCUUACUC
rnacentral:lncRNA from 1 species